UGUGGCCACUAGCCUAUAUGAAGGCCCAAAAUUGUGUGUUCCUUUCUGCUCUGACAAUGGCAUGCCCAUUCGUGCAAGAUGUGGUGGAUGAAGAAGCACUUGUGCUGAGGAGAGCCUUCAGGUGAGAAAGGGUCUUCAGGGACCGGUUGGACCCACUGGCCUUCCCUGAUGACCAUCUAUAUGAAAGAUACAGGUUUUCUGCAGAUGGCAUCAGGUAUCUAUGCAGACUACUGGGUCCCAGGAUUAAGCACCGCACUGCACGGAGCCAUGCACUGAGUGUGGAGCAAAUGGUUUGUGUGGCCUUGCGCUUUUUUGCUAGUGGAGCCUUCCUGUACUCAGUGGGGGAUGCAGAACAGCUGAACAAGGCCACAAUUUGCCGCACAAUAAGGAGUGUGUGUCUGGCUAUCAAAGCAUUAGCAGAUGUGUUCAUCUCCUUCCCUGGCCACAGAAGACUCUGUGACAUCAAAGAGGAGUUCUAUAGGAUUGCAGAUGGUCUGCAAUGCUGACCGUGUGAUCAGCAAUGUUGUGGCAAAAUGGCCUGGCUCAGUCCAUGACUCCAGAAUCUUUCGGGCCUCUGAAAUCUAUCAGUGCCUAUCACAAGGUGAAUUCUCUGGUGUGUUGCUGGGAGACAGGGGUAUGGCUGCCAGCCUUUUCUCCUGACACCUUUCACAGACCCCCAGGAAGCACAGCAGGCCUACAACCAUGCCCAUGCCAGGACCAGGGCCAGAGUUGAAAUGACCUUUGGCCUCCUGAAGGCACGCUUUCACUGCCUUCACAAAUUAAGGGUCAGCCCUGUUAGGGCAUGUGAUAUUACUGUGGCUUGUGCUGUCCUCCACAAUGUGGCCUGCCUGAGGAAGGAGAGGGCCCCAGAGUGCCACCAGCCAUGGACUGGGACAAUCCGGCAAUCUUCCCUGAUGACGACAGUGGUCGGCUGCUGAGGGACCAAUAUGUGUUGAAUUAUUUUAGUUAGUAUGUGUGCUUUCAAUUUUGGUUAAAUAUGUCCUGCGGUGGCAGAGGAAUUUGGGGUUUUUGGGUUCGUUUUUUGACGAAUUUGGCCUCUUAUGAUGUUUGUGCGGUAUACUGUGUGUAAUACAAGGCUGCAGGGAGGCUACUGCAUCCAUUCAUUUGUCUGUUCAGUUGAUGUGUAUGGAUUUGUCCUGCAUUUAUUUUAGUGUGCAGACAUGCAGGGUGUGUUAUAUACAGACCUUUGAAUGUGUAUGUAUCAUUUUGUAUAAUAUGCUUGGAUUCUGUGCUUUCCAUCUUGUAGAGUCACUGUGACUUCAGUUUCGAAAGGAGCUGAUGGUUUACCUGCUUUGUUUUGUCCUUAUUCAAUAAAGGAACAUAAUGUUA